CAAGAGAGUGACAGAAACUUAUUUAGUAUUUUUACUUCUAACCUGAGGAUCAAGAGUGGAAGUGAACUGAUAAAUUAUGCUAGUGACACAAAGCUGAGUGGCAUUGCCUUUGCAGAGGAGGAUCAAAAUAUCACACAGGACCAGCUGGAUCACUGAGGGCAGAAAAAAAAAAAAAAAAAGGAUGAAGUUAAAUAGCAUAAAGUUCAAGGUCACAUAGUCUCAGACCAGCAAGAAUUUCUGCCAAGAAUUAGCAACCUGUGUCUUGGAAACAGCUGAAGAGAAGGAAGAGACUUGAGGCUACUCUCCCAUCGCAGCCUAAUCCAAAGAAGUGCUGGGAAAGUGUGGUAUUGCAGAAGCUGUUAUAGUGAGAUUUUAAGUUUCCAUGGAAAUAAUUAGGAGUUUACUUUCAGAGCAACUUAUGGAUACGUUCUUCACUCAAUGCAGCCCAGGCAAGCCAAAGGGUUGGACACCCAUGAGCCAGAACAACUCUUCCCUUUCUCUGAUGACCUUUUGAUGAGACAAACACUCUUCCUGUGCCAGGGGAGCACAGAGGUGAUUGACUUGUUAAGUCAGUGAGGGCUUCUUUACUGGGAUAUUAAUUCAUGCUUUCUGAAGUUCACUGUAGCAUCUGCUUCAUCAAGCACAUCUUUCUAGUAAAAAAUAGUUCUUUAUUCCUAACCUAUGGACUAUAAAUCUCCUAAGCUAUGUCUCUGGGUACCUGUAAAAUUGCUGAGUAAAUAAGGAGCAGAGUCAUCAUCAGAAUAGCAACAAUAACAUUUUUUGACUACUGAACUCAGCUACAUGCUGUGGAUGUGGGUUUACCAAAGAGACUGACUAUUGCUAGCUUCCUUUCUGAUGUGCAGACUUCACAUCUCAAUUGCACUGCCUGUAACUGCUAUAUUAAUAUACUGUAUAUUUUAAUACAUAUUGUAUGAUAUCUUAGGCAAUAACAUAUCGAUGUGAAGUUCUAUAAAACAUGCUGUAACAUUCUUUUUGAAAAACAAGAUAAAAUGACACUAAAAUAAAACUGAAGGAUUUAUACUUGUUUCAACAAUGGUUGUGCCUUUGAGAAGCCAAUAGUUAUUAUGUUGAAAAAGGUAAAUCUAUAAAUAAGAUUUGAAGAACACAGACGCAUAAAGCACAGAGGAAAGAGAGUGGUUUCCUGGAGUCUAAAUGUACCUGCCACUUGCUUACUUCUGAUCUCAGUUAACGUGAGUAAAUUAGGUUGCUGCUUUUCAUCAUCUGUUCUCAGAUUGGUGUCAAGGACUACUUUAGUGUCUCAGAACAUGUUUUAUGUUAGGAAUAUAUGACCAGUGUGGAAGUGAAAGAGGACCCUGUUGGCACCACAGGCAUGUGUGGAGGGAGAGGGCAAGAGUUUUUAGAAUGAACUGAAUAGACCAGCUGGAAAGUAACUGGUCAGUUGAACAGAUGAUCAUAGAUCAUAGAAUUGCUCAGAACCUUAAAGAUCAUAGAGUCCAACCACGACAUAACCAUACUACCCUAACUCUAAGAACCCUCUGCUAAAUCAUGUCUCUAUCAGUAUACACUGGAUACUGAAUCUUCUUAAUGAGAACCAAGACAGCAGUUGGGCCUGCAUUCCUUGGCUGUAGAUGGAGGAGAGCAUGCAGAAACCAAGAAACAGCAUGGGAUGAAAGUAAGAAUAGCAGGAUGCUGGAAAAGGAGCAGUGGGAAGUUGCUCAGAAAGGCUCCUGGAGGCAAAAAGUGCUGCAAAUGGAGAAAUGGAGAAAGGCAGAUGCAUGCCUUACAUUCAAAUAACAGCCUUUUUAAUGGCUGAAAAAACAGCUCUAGUCUAAUAUUGAAAUCAUGCUACACUUUUCUGUAUCAAAACAUGAGACAUCUAAUUGCAUGGCAUAGUAACACAGAAACCUUUGUUACCAAAAAAAAACUAUCCUAAACAGACCCGCUGCAUGAAUUUGUAAAGCUUUAUUUAUUUCUUUUUAAUAAUAUAAUUAUCUAUAGAUACUGAGUGUCUAAUCUCCAUUUACCUAAGUUCUUUGUACAACCCAUACAACUCCAUGUACCCUAAUCCACCCAUAAUGACUGAAUUAUUGUUGGUGUUGAACAUAUCAAACUGCAGCAGGGAAGCAGUAACACCUGAGAUUACGACUCCUUUUCUCCUCUGGUACUUGCAGCUUAAUUCCAGGUGAGGGGUAAAUGCCUUCCUCCACCAGUCUUCACAAACUUAGGCUGCUUUCCUGGUGACUGUAACCUUUUCUUCAGAGGACUGAUCCCAGCUUUCUCUAUUCUUUUAACGUUCAGGUAGGGAUGGGAGUUUUCUUUAGAUCAGAGCAUUCACCGAGGCAGUGAGACACCCAUGUGUCCUGCAGUCUGAAAUGGUUCAAGCAUGUAAUUAGUUGGGUAUGUGCAAGAAGCCUCCUGAAGCUAUUUCAAAGCUGCUGAAGAUGCUACUCUGAAGGAGCCAUGGUGCAGUUACUGGAGGUGGUAUAGAUGUAUUGCCCUUCAGCAUGGGGGCUCAGGACUCCUGCAUUCUGGCUGAGUGCUUUAGCUGGCAAGAGGAUGAAGAGGACUUAAAGCUGAGGUGGAGUGUAGCUGUAAUGCAGUGGAGUGUUAAGUGGAAUGUAAGCAUUCAUUGCCCCAGGACAGGCACCUAUAGGCAUAUUUAGGAAAAUAAAAUCCUCAAGAAAUUUCAGACAAAGCAGGGAUAUUCCUGGUAGAUCUUGGUCUUGUGCUGAUUUCGAUCCCCUAAAUUAGCUAUAUUUCUGGAAUGGAUCUUCCUAACACUAAGCUCAGAUGGUCAGAAAAAAAUGACAAAAAUGAAUUUAAAUAAAAAACUAAACUGAAAAUAUUUUUAAUUCAUUCCUUCUUUCUUUCCUUUUUAUGGCCUCUUAUGAAUUCGAGCUGUUUCUCAGAAUUUCUCUCUGGAGGUCUCUUCUAUCUCUCUCCUUGGGUUUCUCAGAUUUAGAGAGAAAUAUAAAGACUAUUUUUACUUCUACACAGGGAUUAAUAGAAUCCUGCCUGUCUAGCUGCAGGGUAAAUCAGCACAAUUUCCCUGUAUGCCAAAUGCCAGGAGUUUGUCAUAGAUAUGCUUAAGCCCUACCAUUAAAUGUGGUUUGUAGUAUGUGUUGCAUACUAUUAGUGGUUAGCUAGGGAAGAAUGAUACAAAUGAUGACCAAAAGACUAGUUAAGACCCACUUCCAAAUGUCCUGUGACCAUAUCCCCAAAUUGGCAGCAGAUCUGCUUUGCUGAUCAUAAAUGUUAUACUAUUUGGAUGGACUUUUUAAACCCUGCCAUUUUUGGGCAUUUAAAAAUAAAAGGAUAAACAAAACCACAUCUGGUCUACAAAUGUGCGUGUCAUGUUUGAGCUUGAUGCAGUUUCGAAUUAGUUGUUAAACACUGAAAAGCAGGGUUCAUAAGGGAAAUGCCUACUCAGCUGAUUGUAGUGCAACUGGUGCAACUGUAAUAGAAGCCAGACACUCCUUGAAAUAGCAGACAACUGUGUAUGGCUAUAGAGGAAUAGAGGGAAAGAAAAGCCAGAUGGUGUACUUAGCUGCACUUAAAAUCUGAUUGUGUGUGUCAAUAAUGAAUGCCCAAAUAAGAUUCUUUCAUUUAAAAAAAGAAAAAAAGAAUAUAUGUGCAUACUAGUAGAACAAAUGCAACCCUACAGAAAAAAAAAAAAACAUGUGGAUUCCAUUGCUGUGAUGGUGGUUAUUGUAAUGACCAGUUAACCUGCAUUUGCUGCAGUUGUCUAAAUUCUUAAACAUUAAAUAUUUUACAACACAAUAACAAAAUAACUAAAUCAUAGGGGUAAUCCUGACAAACAGAAAAUAUUUAUGGCCCAUUUUCUUAGAAAUACAAAUGGUUGCUUUUGCUUAGGUUGCUGGAAAAAGUUGCUUACUGGAUGCCACAGUCUUAAAAAACUUUCCCUUAUUUGGAUGUUAGAAUGAAUUUCUGGCAGGGUCAUCUGAGUCCUUCAUUAUUUCUAGGUAGAUUAAAUGGUUUAUUAAGGGUGAAACUUGGGCCUUGUGCUAAUCAAUGGAAACUUUACAAGCAGUCACAGCAUCACACCUAUAAAUAAACAUUUCAUGCAAGACUUUAAAAUAAAGAAUUUCUGCUGUGUAUGGAAAUUAAUGUUUCCCACAGUUACUCAGUCUUACAGAAAGAAUUUACUUGGCUGAAGUAUGUAUAAACAAUUAAAGAAUAAAUAUCUCUAUAAUUCCUCUAUAUCUCCUCUCCUCUCUCUUUACUUCUUUCUCUCUUUCUCCACAGUGGAGAGAUUAUGAACCCCUUGCACUGACUGUAUUUGUUAUUAGCAGCCCCACUGAGUUUAGCAGAAAAGCUUUUGCACUAAGAUGUUAAUCAUUUUAAGUAAAGUCAGCAAAAGGUGGUCAUAAAUAAGCAUCAAAUGCUGUGAAACUUAAUCAUAUUAAUCAGAUUCUUUUCCAUGUCUUAUCUGUAUGUAUUCAGAUGGCACUGCAUAAAGCUAUGCAAUGAUACUACCCCAGAUACACUGGCUAAAGCCAAUUUAUCAAGUGUUUCUUUUCACUGUGUUUUUUCUCUUUCACAGUGCUUCCACUUCUGGAACUAGCAGAGUUUCUUCUAGCUGGAGAAACAGCAGCACUAGUUGUAGCGACACUCAUAGAGUUUGGGCUUUCAAAUCUCUAAAGUACUUUUGAAAUUUGUAUUUAAUAUUUAUUACCCCCUUCAAAGUGCAAUUCAGUGGAGUAGCAGAAGAGAAUUGGAUUGCCUUUCAUUAGUUUCCUGACCCCUUAUCUAAUGUAAAAACCUAUUUUAAUUGCUCAUAUCUUUGCCAAAUCUUAAAAAUCGCCAUGUAUAGCAUUAAAUGAGCCCCAAUGGGUGUGAGCAUUAUGACAUUGUCUAAUUACAUGAUCACAUUUGAAUUUUGUUUUAAACUAUUUGUGCUCUAGUCUGUGCACAGGACAGAAGGAGCUUAGUUCAAAAGCAAAUAUUCAAUUUUAGUUCUCUUCCCAUUGCUCAAUAUGUCCCCCAUGCCUUAUUUACUGUAUGGUAUCCGAACCCUGCUAUGAAGAUAAUUACUAUGUCCCUUCCAGGUUUUUUUUAUGGUUCUUGUUGCUAUAGUACCUGAGCAUUUAACAAACUUUAAUGAAUUUAUGUGCACAAAACCUCUGAGGUGGGUAGUGGUAUUAUUCCGUUUUGCAUGUACUGAACUGAGACACAGAGAGAUGGAAAAAAAAAAGCACAAACCUUCAAAUAUGUCAGAUUUGAAGUGAGAUCUGAGUUUUUGGUGUGCUUCUUUACAUACUAAAAAUAGUGUACACUUUGUAUACCAGAGGUAUCAAAUCAGUCACCCAGAAAAUCAGAAGUGAACAAAUAGAGUAAACAAAAGACCAAUUUAAGUCACCUGCCCAGUACCUAUAGAGUGACAUAAAUCCAGAGUUCCAGACCAUUGCUUAGAUAUCUUGCCUUGAGACCAUUUUUCUCUUCCUGAAUUCUUUACCUGAACAAUCCAGCUCUAUAGCAAAUGAGACACAGGUCUAUACAGCAGGGCAGGUCCAAAUCCUUUUCUCAACACACUAGAAGAACACUGCCUGUUCAUGUAAGUCAACUGAUGAUGGGAUGCAAUUAAGGAGAGCUCAGCAAGGGCAAGGUUGUGGUAGAGAUGGCAAACAAGUUUUCUGCUCUGAUGGUCACUGUAGAGAGACUGGAAGGAGACCCAAACCCUUUGAGAAGACUCAGCAAGAAAAGUCUGAAACAAAAGAUUUUGUGGAAGAAGUAAUUGAAUAAAGAAACAGAAUAAAAUAUGUUAAAAUAUCA